rnacentral:tRNA from 1 species
AAGUAAGUGACAGAGUGGCUAUGUUGUUAACUUGAAAUUAAUAUACGUGGGUUCAAUUCCCUCCUUUCUUG